CAGGAAGCAGAAAUAAAAAACUAGAAGUACUAACUGAAACCAUUGUGUAUGAGACUGUGUUUGAUGGGGAAGCCGUUGAUCCAGUCUCUGGGAAUGUGUAUGAAUAUAACAGUAGAACAGGAGCAAGAAAGUGGAAGAAGAUCCCAGGGAACCAGGAGGAGUCCUUGACACAUAUAUACUCCCUUCCAGAGACCUGCGCUUCUGAGGCAUCUGCAGCCUCAAAUAUCCCUAUGCAAGGCUAGCAUUUUGCCAUGUCUCUGAAUGAUUUUUUUUUUUUUUUUGCACAUGUCAUUGUAUGGGAAGUUUUAUUUGGAUAUCUAACACUCAACUGUGGUUGGGAGACCAGGUGUUUUGCUUUUGUCUAUAACUCUUUGUGAUGUUUCAGUCCAGGGUGUCUGGAUGAGGACAGCAGGAGUGAUCAAACUUGAGUCACUGAACAUGUUUGGUUGAAAACUAGAGGCUAAAUUUCUAUGUGUAUAUUGCCUGAUUCUGUCCCGGGGAACACAUGCUUGUUAGGACUGGAGGUUUUGUCUUGUUCACUGAUCUCCUGGAACACAUGCUUGGCAUAUCGUGGGGACUGCAUAUAUAUGUGACU